AUUGAACGCUGGCGGCAGGCCUAACACAUGCAAGUCGAGCGGAUGAAGGGAGCUUGCUUCUGGAUUCAGCGGCGGACGGGUGAGUAAUGCCUAGGAAUCUGCCUGGUAGUGGGGGAUAACGUCCGGAAACGGGCGCUAAUACCGCAUACGUCCUGAGGGAGAAAGUGGGGGAUCUUCGGAUCUCACGCUAUCAGAUGAGUCUAGGUCGGAUUAGCUAGUUGGUGGGGUAAAGGCCUACCAAGGCGACGAUCCGUAACUGGUCUGAGAGGAUGAUCAGUCACACUGGAACUGAGACACGGUCCAGACUCCUAUGGGAGGCAGCAGUGGGGAAUAUUGGACAAUGGGCGAAAGCCUGAUCCAGCCAUGCCGCGUGUGUGAAGAAGGUCUUCGGAUUGUAAAGCACUUUAAGUUGGGAGGAAGGGCAGUAAGUUAAUACCUUGCUGUUUUGACGUUACCAACAGAAUAAGCACCGGCUAACUUCGUG
rnacentral:rRNA from 1 species